AAUUCCAAAUGAGAUUCUUGAUGAAUGUGGGUUGUUGUCAUUGAGCCUGGUUAGUUGUGCCCCUUAUUAAACAUCUCUGCACGGCCCUGGAGAGCUGACAGUAAUGUUGCAGUUGAAAUUACCCACCACUUAAAAAACCUGAAUCCCUUUUUACUCCUCUUCUUUAGGGCUAGCUAGAUGGACACCUGCAAUUGUUCUAGUGUUUUGCCAAGAAUAAUUACAGUUUUUUUCAGUCGCUAACAAGCGUUUGUCCAAACAGUUGUCACAUUUGCAAAACUCUAAACACAAUUAGCACAGCAUCGGUCUGUUGUGGCCAUACCAUUCACACAUUUCAUGUCGUGUUCACCCAAUAUGCAGUCAGUGAACACAUUUCCACAAUGCUUACAUUUUCUUAACAGACAAGCUAUACCUCCCAACAAAAUUAUGGACUGUUUUUGUAGUAUCUACGAAUGUUAACACACAACAUCCCACAAUAGCAAAAACAAUAUUCCAAACCUUAGAUACAGUAUAAAAACCUCUGCUUCUGCAAUGAUAUCAGUACAAAAACAAUAUCAAUAUCAAAAAUAUAUCUCAGCUGAUAAUAAACAAACAAUUGAAUAAUUGACACACAGCUGAUUUAUGUUGGGUAAAUUGGGCCAACCACAGCUUCUUCCAUUCUGGCUUAGACUCAGUGGGGUUUAUAAGGCAAGACCUUGAGGAGUGAUGUUUUUGGAAACAAAAAAAAGACAAACACUGUAUUGUCUGGUUGAGGAAGAGUAAGAGCAAGGGGCCCAGGGAGAAGAGCAGGCCCAAGGAGAGGGCAAGGUAGAGGUGUAAGAAUGCGUGGUGGUGGCAUUCCAAGGGCUGCAAGAACAGUAGUCAGUGAUGAAAUUCGUGCCACUAUCAUUGACCAUGUAAUCAACCAUGGUCUUUCACUAAGAGAGGCUGGUGAAAGAGUGCAGCCCAAUUUGAGGCGGUCAACGGUUGCCUCCAUUAUACGCACCUUUCAACAAACCAACAGGUAAGUAUUGCAUUUUACAUGGAUUGUUUCUAUUCUCACUUGUCAAUAUGGUCAUACAGUAAUGCAUAUGUUGAAUUUUUUGUCUUUCUAAAGAAUGCAACGUCUUCCACCCUCUGGGGGAAGAGGAAAGCUCCUCAGUAAUGAUCAGGAGCUUGCCAUUGUAGAAAUGGUUACUGCAAAUAAUGCAAUAAAACUGCGUGAAAUUCAAACUAGAAUUGUGGCGGACCAUGAGAUAUUUGACAAUAUCGAUAGAAUCAGCCUCACAACCAUUACGCAGACAUUGUCCAAACACAGAGUGCGGAUGAAGCAGCUUUUGUCAUGAGCCGUGGUGCGCGGGCACGAAAGGAUCCAGGCGCAGACUCCGCACUGACAGAAAAACACUUUAUUGUAACAACGAAAGGCGACCCGGGGAAACUAGAGAGCGAAACAGGAAACUAAAAAACCGGGGAAACAAUGACACGAGGAAGCUGGGAUCGGGAUGGUGGGGGGCUGCAAUAGAAAGGGGAGAUGAUUACUAGGGAGCCAGGAAACGGGGAAAACACAUCAGGACUGAGUUAGAGUAGGGGGCUUACGAUAGAACGGGACCGUGGGAGCUCGGGAGGGAAGUGUGGCAGUCCGUGGGGGCAGGAAGUCCGUGGAAAUGGUGAGUGGGCCAGGUGAGCACCGCGAGAUCCAGUUGAGCCGGAGGACAGGCAGGUAGCAGACGCCGAGUAGAAACCUGGACAGAAGUAGGCAGGUUAAACACAGUUCCAAACCAGCAGAGAAUGCACGCUUUUCGUGGAAGUCUGGUUACCACUGUGGGGAUGACUAACGGACUGGCGUGGAGCAUCCGUCAGCGCCGGGUUAAGUAGAUCUCCGUGUAGUCACCGUGAUGGAGAGCAGGUGUGCUGGUGAUGACCCAGCCCGGGGGUGUGGCUACCCGAGCAUCACGCAUUCCACAGACACAGGACCACGGACCAUGACAGCUCUACACUGUUCCCUUUGAGAGGAACAGUGAGAGGGUCAAGGAGCUACGACGACAAUAUGUCCAGAGAGUUAUGGAAUUGGAGGCCAACCAGGCCCCUCAUGAAUUCAUAUACAUCGAUGAGGCAGGAUUCAAUCUGGCCAAAAGGCGUCGACGUGGACGAAAUGUAAUUGGAAAAAGGGCCACAGUUGAUGUGCCAGGACAGAGAGGGGCAAACAUUACCAUGUGUGCAGCAAUUGCAAAUGCAGGAUUACUCCUUCACAGAUGUCAGGUUGGACCCUAUAAUACAGAGCGCUUGCUUGCCUUUCUCAAUGAUCUCCACCAGCGCCUGGUUCCAGAGCAGGGUCAGGAGGGUGAAAACAUGAGGACCUUUGUAAUUACCUGGGACAAUGUGGCUUUCCAUCACUCGCAAGCAAUAACAACAUGGUUUGAAGUCCACCCAAGACUGGUAAGUCUCUUCCUUCCACCCUAUUCACCUUUCCUCAACCCCAUAGAGGAGUUCUUUUCUGCAUGGAGGUGGAAGGUUUAUGACCAUCAGCCACAUAACCAGAUGUCCCUCCUUGAAGCCAUGGAUGCUGGCUCCAGGGACAUCACAGUUGACGAUUGCCAAGGGUGGAUCCGACAUACCAGGCGGUUUUAUCCCAGGUGCAUCGACUUGGAUAACAUCAGAUGUGAUGUUGAUGAAAACAUGUGGCCUAACCCUGAAGAUCGCAGAGAUUAGAUGCAAAUUUUUUGCCUUUUUUUAGCCCCCCUCCCCCUACCCCCCUUUUUAUCUUGGCUUUUUGCUGUUGUUUUUUUGUUCAGAAUGCUCUUGUGUGUUUCAUGGAUAUUUUGUUCACUGUAAGCAAUACUGUAAAACUUUCUCUGUCCUAUCAUACCGUGUUUCUACUGUACCUCCUGUAGUAAACAGUAAAGAAACAGAAACUUGUUUGCUUUUUACUGGAAUGCUUUCGAAUGUGAACAUUACUGUACAUGUGGACAUACAGUUACCAACCAAGACAUUUCUGGUGUCAAAAUGGUGGAUUGCAUGUUUCGCAUGCAAAUACCUGUAAAACUGAAACAUAAAAGUCUAUGCAGUUUUUGUAAUGUCAAUAAUAGCCAGUAUUUUGAAACCUGGUGUACUUUGAUUGACUGCAUGUACCUUGUGAAGUGAAAACAAGUGUUAUUCUUUGACAGACUAAUUUCAUUUUGAGUCAGAUUUAUAGUGUUUUUGUACAGUUAGUGUGUGCAGAGAAAGAUGUGUUCUAUUUUGAAAUGAAGAGUUAAUAUAUAUUUAACAAAAUGUAUUUUUGAGAAGAAAAUUAUCCAUUUGGCCAAUUGUGUUUUGUAGGUGUGAGUCUGUGUUAAGGGUUUAGAAAAAGUAUCUGAAGUAUGGGUAGGCGCUUGUUAGCGAUUGAAAAAAACUGUAAAAUGUGGGACCUUAUUUGAGAAAACUCAAGAAAAUAAGUGACAUUCAUAUUAUAUUAUAGAAACCAAAAAUAUUGUCAUAGCUUGUUUUUUGUCUCCUAUACUUCUCAUCAAUGAGAAUGUUGCACAAAUAAGUCCAUCCUUAUGUCAGAUAUAUUAUAUCUUCAUUACUGUCACAGUUGGUUGUUUUCUUGCUUUGUUUUUUGGUGUUAUUGGUGGCACUAGUUUUAGAAGUGCUGUCCUGAAUAGUUAUAUCAUUUAAUUUUUCUUUUUUAGGAAUAGAACACUGGUGAUAUAUUAAGUUAUGACAAACAUUUUCCAGAUCACUAGUUAUGGGUACAGUAUAUAGAUGUUUAUUUGUACUCAUAGCAUUGCAUACUACUACAUUUAUUUAACACAUUUAAACAAUGACUCUAAUAAAUAGAUAAAUAAAUAUAUUUGUAUUUAAAACAUUAUGUAAACAAUUACAUUUUUAAAGUCAC
ensembl:lncRNA